ACGCUUACACGCUAUUCCUUUCUGUGUCGCCAUCUCAACAAACUUAACUUCCCUUUCAAUCCACCAUUUCUUCCUCUUUUUUCAUCGUUUCUUCAACCGAUUAAUCUCCAUCUUCUUCUCCGAUCUGUAAAUUCUCCAGUCAUGCAUAACGGCGAUGUUGGCUCUUCCUACUACCACCAACCUUACUUACACAACCCAAACCCUAGCUCUACUCCCCCUGAUCAUCCCUACGCCUCCGCUCCUCCUGAACCUUCUUCCACUUACUCUGCCUCCGACUACUCCACCACCUUCCCACCUUAUUCUCAUCAACAACAACCUUACACUUUCCCUCACCUUGAUGCUCAUCAACCGAAUUAUUAUUAUCCUCCGUAUGAUCAAAAUCAAACCCCUAUGAGUUACGAUUAUACCACACAAAAUUAUGGUUCCUCUCCUCAUCAUGCAAUUGAGGAUUAUGGAUCGUAUGGUGAUUCCGGUAUUUACAAAUAUAAUGGUAGGAAAGAUGAGUUGUAUAAAGAGAGUCGAUCUGAGUCGAAUGUUGGGGUGAUGUUUGAUGAUUAUGGGAGGCCUAUUAAUGUUCAAAAUCAGAGGGAGAAGCAGGGAUAUGAGAGUAGUCGUAAAAUUGUGAAAGCAACCCCGAAGAUGGAGGAACAACAGGAUGUUACAGCUGGUGUGUUGAAGUUCCGCGUCAAACUUUUAUCUGAAGGGAUUGGUCAGAGUGACAUGGAUGUGCUUUGUCAGAUUGGUCUCGAUGGGAUUCGCUUACUUGAUCCUGCUACGAGCCGAACUCUGAGAAUAUAUUUGCUGGAGAAUGUGACAAGAUGCGAGGUGUUGGAUUCAUAUAUAUUUGCAUUUUGGGCCAAAAACUCGGUUGACAUGGAACCUAGACGUAUCAGGCUGAAAUCAAAUAGCUAUACGGUGAACAAUAUGCUGGACACUGUGACAGCCGCAAGUAUUCAGGUCAAGGAGAUGGGUGAGAGUAAUAAAUCUUCAGAUUCAAUCAAGGGAUCUGAGCAAGCUGCUGAGAAGAAGAAAGGUUUUGCUGAUUUGAUGAAGUUGAUGAGGCCACUAAAUGAAGAGAAAGAUUUCUGGGUUCCUGAUGAAGCAGUUCGAAAGUGCACUGCUUGUGCGACUGAUUUUAGUGCUUUCAAUAGAAAGCAUCACUGCAGGAAUUGUGGGGAUAUUUUCUGUGACAAGUGCACGCAAGGUAGAGUUGCCCUCACUGCGGAUGAAGAUGCACAGCCAGUUCGAGUUUGUGACCGAUGCAUGGCAGAGGUAACUCAGAGACUCAGCAAUGCCACGGAAGCAACAACAAAAGUUGCUGCAUUACAAAGUCACGAGGACCUUACAAGAAAACUCAAGGAGGUGAUGGAAAAAACCCGCAAGACUUCAACAGGUCUUAGUUCUCAAGGAUCUAAUAAGGGGAUGAGAGAGGUAGAAUGUCCAACUUGCACAGUCCAUUUACAGGUUGAAGUGCCAGCUUCUGGAUCAGAAACGAUCGAGUGCAGCGUUUGCCAGCAUCCGUUCCUUGUUAGUGCCCAUUGAUCUGCAGAGUUUGUUUUUUUAUAUCCCCGUGUUAAAAGCCAAAGUGUGAUCGUCCUUUACUCAUAGUUUUGAAAGAGUAUCAUGGUCUUUAUUGAGUGAUACUUGUAUUGUUCUCUAUUUCAUAAUGCAGAUUUAUGUACAAAAAAG
rnacentral:misc_RNA from 1 species